GCCUCCCUGAAGCCUGAACUCGGCAGGCCCCAAGGGAGGCAGGAAGGAGGCAGGCAGAGUUCUCUGCAGCAGAAGACCCUCUGCUGGGACCAUCCAGCACAGCUUUUGCAAGCCUCUCACUGGAGGACCCAGACCCCACCUCACCACUGCGCAGUGGGCAAGUGAUAGACUGGUUGUAUACCACCAUUUCUGCUUGUCAUGUAACCCAUUAUCUUGGUACCUUCACUGGCAGGACACGCAAAAAGGUGUUCAAAUCGAGGCUCAUGGGCAAGUGUACAUUUCCUUCCCCACCCCUGCCACCUUCUCCAUAUGAGCAGCAGCAAAGACUAGUUUUUGAAGAGGAAUUUGCCACACACGCAGAGGAGCA